CCCACUACACUCUCUUCUAUGACUUAUUGAAUUCACAAGACUUUUGGCAGGUGUUGAGGCACCACCACAAAAUGUUGCCCCAUUCAACGCACGACGACGCUCACAAGUCGUGCCGCAUUUGGUUUAGUUUUGUGAGCUCUCGUGUGGCACGACUUGCCAGACAGAGGCUCGAGAGUUUGCUGCAAUAUUUGGCCAAAGUCGAUGCUCAAUCCUUUGGCUAAUUUCCCCCCUCCUUACCCUCCUUUCUCUCUCUCUCUCUCGCUCUGUGUUUU
rnacentral:lncRNA from 1 species